rfam:Cavia porcellus supercont2_32 genomic scaffold, whole genome shotgun sequence.
UGCUGAGGCCAUUCAAAAGACAGGGCGACAGGAAUUCAGUGUGUGGUAUCGUUGGUUUUUUUGGCUUUGUGCAUGUUAAACCUGGUAUUUCUACUGAUGCAUUA